rnacentral:rRNA from 1 species
UGGCGACCGGGUGAGUAACACGUGACUAACCUACCUUCGAGUGUGGAAUAACCUCGGGAAACCGAAGCUAAUACCGCAUAACAUCCCAAGGGAGAGAAACCCAGGGAGCAAAGGAGCAAUUCGCUUGAAGAGGGGGUCGCGGCUGAUUAGCUAGUUGGCGGGGUAACGGCCCACCAAGGCUAUGAUCAGUAGCCGGCCUGAGAGGGCGCACGGCCACACUGGAACUGAGACACGGCCCAG